UUUUUUUUUUUUUUGGUUUUCCAUUGAUGCCAAUGGGAGAGAUAGAGUUCCAAAAUUUCCGUGAUGUGCGCACUAAAGAAGUGCAUGGCAUUGAUGCUAUAAGAGGAUUUUGAGUCGACUUGAUUUGAGUAAGAGAGAGAGAGCGAGCGAUGACCAAGAUGACCCAACUUGGACCGUGAUUUCAGUCCCGGAUGAUGUCAUGGACGUGGAGAUGCUGAAACCUUGGUUCAUGUCUGCAAACUCAGUCUGAAUGGAUCAUUACUGGAGAGCCUGAGGAGCCAUGCAUUUGUGCCUGUCCCUUGGCUCUCAACUUUCCCUAUGGUUCGAUUGUGACUGUGCUGGACGGAGAUUUUGAUACACCGAUCCUUCCAUAAUUCGUUAUUAUUAUUAUUAUUAUUAUUUUUCUUCUUCUUCUUCUUCAAGGUUUAAAAUACUCCUUGAUAGGAUAAGUUUGCGAGUGUGGACAAGUUGUUCACCAACACUUCGAUCACGGGCAAGUCUUUGGUGAACAAAUCACUUCCAUGUCAGGAACUCCCACGUAUCGAGUUCCUUGGCUCCGUAAAAAAUAUGUUAACAUAAAGUAUGUUAAAAUAAACUGAGAAGGUUAGUAAGCGUGUAAUAAUUUAAGUAGAUUCUAGUCUUAACCUUUGGUUGUGGUGAUACGCGUAGGGUGGAGUAUGCUCAAAAAUAGAGUGCGGGCACUUUCAACUUGGUCUAGAGUGAAACCGUUUGCCAUCCAAUAGAGCUGUUCUAUAUUUAGAAUGACCCAAAAGAGACGUUACUUUGAAGUCGAGGUUUGCAAUUUUAGUGGUAUCAGGGAUGGGUACUGCGUCAAGCUCUUCAUGGUCUAUCCAUCGAAAUGCUAGCUGGUUCAUAGUGCACUCUUUCUCUCUACAAUCUGCUUCACCUCCUCCAGCAGCUCCUCGUUUUUCAUGAUAAUGUCGUCUUGCUGCAUCCCAUGACAUCAAACAGUCCUUUUGAUAGGCAAAUACACAGCGUAUGAAACAAAGGAAAAACUAAGGAAAGGGUGUUAAGGCUACAAUGCGAAAGUCAAUCUCAAAAAGAUCUUUCCUUUUAAAGGAUCCGAGGAUAUGAAGGAAACGAUCCUAAGUCUGAGCUCUACAUAUUCCGAACUACAAACAGAGCUUUUAACAGGAAACUCCAGAGGUGCUCCCAACCAGAUAACUAGUUCUUUCAGAAGAUUGAAACUGAGCUGAAAAUCACUGUCAUAGAAAUAGCACACAACCAGCACAUAUGACUGCAUGAUUAAGAGUGGGGGCUGCUUCCCAAGGGCAAGAAGGUAUCCAACACCUGCAGGUCCGAACAAUCUCAAUUUUCAAAAUCACGAACCCUAAGUCAUAACUGUAGUUGAACUGCGUUGAUGGAGUGAACUGCGUAAGCAAGCCUUCUGUCUCAUGCAUUGGCUUCCCAGGUGGCCCCAAUAAUUCACUUUGUCAGCCUUCACAAGCUCCUUCACGGCCCUUACCUGAACUUAAUCGUGCACUUGCCAAUCUCAGGAUCCAACACAA
rnacentral:lncRNA from 1 species